GGAAAAGGACUUGAGGGACAAGAAACAGGUCCUGAACAAGGGGCCUUGGACCCAGUCAGACCACAAAGAGCACAAGGCAGCUUCCUGAUGCUGUGCACACUGGGAGGACGGCUCAAGGAGAUAGGACGCCACAAGACAUGUGCAAGACCCGGAUGGACUUCCCCGCUCCUGGCACGGUGAAGAGAGAGGGAGAGAAAUGGACUCCCUAUAAUUGCUGCCAGCCUUGUAUGCUCACUCCAAAGAUGAACGGCAGGCUCCUCUGGCUGCAGCUCCUACAGCUGCCACUUC